rnacentral:lncRNA from 1 species
UCGGUGAUCAGCACUGAACACAGAGGACUCACCAUGGAGUUUGAGCUCAGCUGGGUUUUCCUUGUUGCUAUUUUACAAGGUGUCCAGUGUGAGGUGCAGCUGGUGGAGUCUGGGGGAGGCUUAGUACAGCCUGGAGGGUCCCUGAGACUCUCCUGUGCAGCCUCUGGAUUCACCUUCAGUAGCUACUGGAUGCACUGGGUCCGCCAAGCUCCAGGGAAGGGGCUGGUGUGGGUCUCACGUAUUAAUAGUGAUGGGAGUAGCACAAGCUACGC